rnacentral:rRNA from 1 species
CAUGCAGGCGGUCGGACGCGUUUUGUGUGACAGCGGGUGGCUUAACUACCCGAGUAUGCGAAAGACGGUCUGACUUGAGGGCUCGAGAGGGACACGGAAUUCCGGGUGGAGUGGUGAAAUGCGUAGAGAUCCGGAGGAACACCGAAGGCGAAGGCAGUGUCCUGGCGAGUGACUGACGCUGAGGUGCGAAAGCUAGGGGAGCGAACGGGAUUAGAUACCCCGGUAGUCCUAGCCGUAAACGAUGACCACCAGGUGUGGGAGGUAUCGACCCCUUCCGCGCCGGAGGAAACCCACUAAGUGGUCCGCCUGGGGAGUACGGUCGCAAGAUUAAA